AACUAAGUAGGGUCAGAGGGU
rnacentral:miRNA from 1 species